AGUGUGCUUCUCGUUCUCGUAAAG
rnacentral:siRNA from 1 species